UACGUAGGGGGCAAGCGUUGUCCGGAUUUAUUGGGCGUAAGGAGCGUGUAGGCGGCCAGGUAGGUCCGUUGUGAAAACUCGAGGCUCAACCUCGAGUUGUCGGCGGAAACCAUCUGGCUAGAGUCCGGAAGAGGAGAGUGGAAUUCCUGGUGUAGCGGUGAAAUGCGCAGAUAUCAGGAAGAACACCCGUGGCGAAGGCGGCUCUCUGGGACGGUACUGACGCUGAGACGCGAAAGCGUGGGGAGCGAACAGG
rnacentral:rRNA from 1 species